rnacentral:lncRNA from 1 species
GCAUAUUUCACUAAUUAAAUAUUGAAAAAACCUAAUACAUUAUUAAUAAUUUCAUAACUAAACGUACAAAGAUUUAAACUUUAAGGCAGACAUUAGCUAUAUAGAAAAAUAAAGGCGAAAUGCAUAAACACCCCCUAUAAGUUGUCCAUAAUGACCAAACAAAUACCUCAACCGCACCCUUUAUCAUUUUGGACACUUCAAAUGUCCAUUAACUAGAUCAAAUGAACACAUAUUGCUGAUGUGGUAUGCGCGUGUUUGCUAAUAAAAUUUUAAGCGCGUGAAUCAAUUUUUCAGCCUAAUUAUUUAUUUCUUUGAAAAAACUUAAGAAUUGGGUGUAUCUUAGCGUCUCUUCUUGUCUUGACUAACCAACGUCAACAUCACCGUGAAACCAACAUUAAAACCAACCACUAAAACUCCAGCCAAGCUACCAAAAAUCACAAGAAACUGGCCCUUCCAUCACAAAAUUUCACUGCCCAAUACCACCAGAGCUCCGCCUAAUUCCUUCAACCCAAAACUUGUUCCAAAUCCAAUUAAUAAGCAAAAAAAAAACUACAACAACAAUAGUUUCGAAAAACCAUCAAAUCUCCACUAGAUAAGCAUCAUCUUUCCUCCAACAACACCUGCAUUCCAAUAGAAACACACAAACAACAAUAUUUGAAUCAGCCGGUAAUUUUAAGGAUAACUUUGUACCAAAAUUAAUUAGAGAAGUAAAAUUAAUAUAAAUCCAAAACUCAUAGUCAAGAAACGAUGAAGAGAGAAGAGUGAAAAUUUCAGUAGAAUCAUUUCGUUCAAAUCUGCUCGGAGAUCAAUUUUUCGACGAGAAAGGUUGCAUGAGAGGAGCUUUUUAUGAAAAUUUUCAUAAGUGAUUUUAGUGCGAAGGGGAAGGGGUCUAAUAGGAAUGACUUAUGUUCAAUUGUUAAAUGAGGGUGAAUUUGAAGGAAGAAGAAGGGAGUUGGGUGGUGCUGGUUUUGGACGGAAGAAGAAGAAGAAGUUGG